rnacentral:rRNA from 1 species
AACAAACGCUGGCGGCGUGCCUAAUACAUGCAAGUCGAACGGGGAAAGCUUUCGGGUGAGUACUAGUGGCGCACGGGUGAGUAACGCGUGGAUAAUCUGCCUUAGAGUGGGAGAUAACUAGUAGAAAGAUUAGCUAAUACCGCAUAAGACCACAAGAACUGCGGUUCAAGGGGUCAAAGGUUUUUCGCUCUAAGAUGAGUCCGCGUAAGAUUAGCUAGUUGGUAGGGUAACGGCCUACCAAGGCGACGAUCUUUAACUGGUCUGAGAGGAUGAUCAGUCACACUGGAACUGAGACACGGUCCAGACUCCUACGGGAGGCAGCAGUAGGGAAUAUUGCACAAUGGAGGAAACUCUGAUGCAGCGACGCCGCGUGAGUGAUGAAGGCCUUCGGGUCGUAAAGCUCUGUCGCAGGGGAAUAACACAAUGAAGGUACCCUGUAAGAAAGGAUCGGCUAACUUCGUGCCAGCAGCCGCAGUAACAC